rnacentral:rRNA from 1 species
CCUACGGGUGGCUGCAGUGGGGGAUAUUGCACAAUGGGGGGAACCCUGAUGCAGCGACGCCGCGUGGGUGAAGAAGCGCCUCGGCGCGUAAAGCCCUGUCAGCAGGGAAGAAAAUGACGGUACCUGAAGAAGAAGCCCCGGCUAACUACGUGCCACCAGCCGCGGUAAUACGUAGGGGGCAAGCGGUAUCCGGAUUUACUGGGUGUAAAGGGGGCGCAGACGGGGUUGCAAGCCAGGAGGGAAGACCCUGGGCCCAACCCCGGGACUGCUGUUGAAACUGGGUGGCUGGAGUGGAGGAGGGGGAGGCGGAAUGCCUGGUGUAGCGGUGAAAUGCGUAGAUAUCAGGAGGAACACCGGUGGCGAAGGCGGCCUGCUGGACUGCAACUGACGUUGAGGCCCGAAAGCGUGGGGAGCAAACAGGAUUAGAUACCCCAGUAGUC